rnacentral:rRNA from 1 species
AUGAACGCUAGCGACAGGCCUAACACAUGCAAGUCAGGGGCAGCACAGGAGCAAUCUGAGGUGGCGACCGGCGCACGGGUGAGUAACACGUAUGCAACCUGCCUGUAAGCGGGGAAUAACCCGUUGAAAGACGGACUAAUACCGCAUAAUACUAAAUUACUGCAUGGUAAUUUAUUUAAACACUUAUGGCUUACAGAUGGGCAUGCGCAUGAUUAGCUAGUUGGAGAGGUAACGGCUCCCCAAGGCAACGAUCAUUAGGGGUUCUGAGAGGAAGGUCCCCCACACUGGUACUGAGACACGGACCAGACUCCUGCGGGAGGCAGCAGUGAGGAAUAUUGGUCAAUGGACGAGGGUCUGAACCAGCCAAGUCGCGUGCAGGAAGAAUGUCCUAAUGGAUUGUAAACUGCUUUUGCAGGGGAAUAAAGUGCAUCACGUGUGAUGUUUUGUAUGUACUCUGCGAAUAAGGAUCGGCUAACUCCGUGCCAGCCGCAGC